GAUGGGACCGGCUCGUUUCUGAGAAACAAGCUCAGUGCUCCCACUAAUUCAACGUAAUGUGCUCCCCAAACCGGCCCGGAGACGUCGUCGGAGAGCGGCCAAGUUAAAGAUUCUCCACGUCAAGGGGCUACGUUAGCCGCCGUUGCAAGUAGCAUGGCUGUGUGUUUGCAAGCAUGUCAUAGCUCGGCGGCGUUAGCUUAUGCUAGGCUAACUGUAGCUAGCCUCACCGCAAUCUGUUCAGACGCCAGGUCCGACCUACAUCUCUUGCCAUUGGCUGGUUUUAGGAAUGAACGCCCUUCUGAUUGGACGAAUGGGUUGUAGGCAAUCUCUUGACAUCUGUCGACGUCAUUGCACGAACGUAAUGAUUUUGCACACAUUAUUAGAAAAACUGGCAAGACAUUCUACGUUAACAAUUUUUAAUUUAAUCUUAAAUGGGGAAAAAACACAAAAGUUAAAGUUUACGUUCCCCUAAACGUAUUUGAUUGAAAAAAAAUCUGUUAGAGGUAAAAUCUUUUUUUUGCCAAAUUCACAUUUUGGAUUUGAGGUGAUCAACAUUGACUAAGGAAGCAAACAUGCAACGUGACGUAUUAUUUAUUCUAAAUUCAAUUAAAGUUGUACCGAUUGUGAUGGAGUUUAUCGCGACUGUGAAUGUUUAAAAACUGAAUUAUUUCAUAAACCAACACUAAAUACUU